UAUGUAUGAAGAUUUCCUUCUCCUCAGCCCCAUACAAAAAUGUUAACGCUGUCCAAUAUUUACAAUUUGACAGAUUAGCAGGUUCCCAGUUCUUUGGGCAAGGGACAGGAAAGCAUACAUAAUAAAACUAAAAAAGGUCCUGUGAUGCUAAGAUAUUCGUUGUAACCAUAGUUAAUACAGUUUCCAUUGUACUCCAGCAGAAAUUUAAGAACAUAAGCUCUAAAACCUGAGAGAGCAAGAAAGAUAGCAGCGAGUCAUUAGCGUUUGGACAGCCUCAGUUCUCACCUGCACAGCACAGAUGCAGUUGUCCUAUUAAAAAUCUCUGCGUAGCUGGAUGAUUCCCAAGGGAUAAAAACAAAGGUCUGGUAGAAUUAUUUCACGUCUUCAUUGAGCAAUUGCGUUGCGAUUAAUAAAAAGCCAGAUCUAGGUGCUUUUCAAAGAAUGACCUGCUUUUGAAAGAAGCAGUUACCACAUCUUCCAACUUCAGAAUAAUAAUUUUGGGGAAAAAAAAAAAAAGAAAUACAUGCCAUUUCUUGAUCAUGCCAGGUUAGCCACAGAAAGACGCUACAUCGGAAGUCUGCACAAAAUGAGAAGAAGAUGGCCUUUGCCCAAUUUCUGCAGACAGCGUGCGCUCAUCAACAAACACUUGGAAUUAAUUAUUCAGCAUUUAAGUUGUGCUACAGAAAGUAUUAAUUGGCAAGCUUAGAAUCUUUUAUCGGGGAAUAAAUGGAAGAGAAUGUCAUUUUUCAUCCAUAUACUUGGUAAAACUAUAUAAAUAAAUGUAUUUUAAGUAUAUAGCACUCUAAAAGUGAAUGGAUUGGAAAAUCUGGAUUUUUUUUCAGAUUAAAACUAUUGAAUUUAGUCAGCGUUAUUUUCCCUUCUGUUUUAGACCCACAGUAAUGGAUACUAAAGGAAAAAAAAAAUCAAACACGGGUAAUUACUUGGAGUCAUGUGGUAUAAUGCACUCAAAAAUAUUCUCUUUUACAUAAAUGGG